GUACAGGAAGUCGUGCCUUCCCAGUGGGUAUUCGAGCCUAAACGGACGCGGUAAAUCGUGCUAAGGUAGCUAAAUUAUGGUCUAUUAAUUGUAGGUCUUGUGAAUGGUUUGACGAGUCUUCGACUGUCUCUAGGUUGUUUUGGUGAACUUGAAUUGAAUGUGUAAAUGCUUUCGUGGAUAAGAAAGACGAGAAGACCCCGUGAAGUUAGAAAUUAUAGCGUAUGGGAAUGUUAUUCCCUGUUGGUUUAGUUCAAGGUAUUUUAGGGUUAGGUUGACUUUAGAGUGAGGGAGUGUAGUGAUUAGUUUUUGCUGGGGCAGCAAAAAGGCAAAUCUAGACCUUAAUUAUGUUUAAAACGGGUGCGUUACGACCCACAAGCAGAGAGGUGUGAUUAGCAGAAGGAGUUACUCCGGGGAUAACAGCGUUAUCCGUCCUGAGAGUUCUUAUUGGUGGACGGGUUUGCGACCUCGAUGUUGGCUCUGGAUAUCCUGGGGCUGCAGGCGUCCCAA
rnacentral:rRNA from 1 species